AUGAACAAUUGCUUCUCUAAUAUCUGCCGAUUCCCCCCAGCAGAACAGCAGAUCUGCUCUCAUCGUAUUUGGAAGACACCGAGAGGGCUUCACCCUGGCCCUCAAGCUGAGUGGUCUUUGUGUCUUUAUAGCAGCUUGGGGUCCUUCCUCUUGAAUCCCGUUUCCCAGGGACAAAAGCACAACCUCUCACCUGGGGGCCAAGAAUUGUUAGAGAAACAGCAGCCAGAAAGAAGAAAAAUACACCUGUCUUUUCCCGGCAACCACGAGUUACAGAAAACUAGCCGGCUUUGGUCUCAGCUGACAUUCUGGGCAGGAUCUCCCCCUUGGAGCAGUUUCGCGUCCUCCGACAUUUGGUGCAUGGUUAUCAAUGUGGCCACUGCUUUCCUUUGUUCCUGUCAGAUCUGACUUCCAGGAGCUUUAUACCUUCACCCAGCAAGGCAGCAACUUGCCUUCCCUGCCUCGACUAAGGGUCGGGUCCUUGCCCUUUCCAGCCACCUCAGCGAUGACUUCGUACAUAGGAACUCUGGAGGGCCAGAGCCCAGCGGGUGUGACCUAAGAGGGACAAUGACGGUCACUGAAACUACAGCAGCCUGCCACCUGGGGGAGGUUCUGGGGCUCCAGUCGUCCUGAGUCUGGACCCACAGAGGAGGCACAAACCUUCAUGGGUUUGUUCUGGAUCAGGAAGGCAGCCUACACUUCCCUGGGUGCCCUUCUCGGGGCUGUUAGGCAAGGAAGAUAAAGCUCCACUUCUGGGGAGGCUGGGCGAGGCAAAGCUCCUUUGGCAGCUUUGGGCCACAGGAUGACGUGAAAUGGGCCACCAGCCCAUUCUUGGGACCUUGGGACCUCAGUCACCCUGGAAGUGUAGGUAACAGCUGAAGGAUCAUUCACUUAAUCCAUAUUCACUGGACAUCAAUUAUGUGCUAGGCACUGUGCUGGCUGCUGGUGUGUGUGAUUGUGUAUGUGUGUGUGUGUAAUAUGGAGUGCCUAUUUAUAAUGAAUAAAAACAGUAUGAAUGAUGAUGACAG
rnacentral:lncRNA from 1 species